rnacentral:rRNA from 1 species
GAGUUUGAUCGUGGCUCAGAACGAACGCUGGCGGCAGGCCUAACACAUGCAAGUCGAACGCUGUAGCAAUACAGAGUGGCAGACGGGUGAGUAACGCGUGGGAACCUUCCCAAUGGUGCGGAAUAGCCCAGGGAAACUUGGGGUAAUACCGCAUAAGCCCUUAGGGGGAAAGAUUUAUCGCCAUUGGAUGGGCCCGCGUCGGAUUAGCUAGUUGGUGAGGUAAUGGCUCACCAAGGCAACGAUCCGUAGCUGGUUUGAGAGAAUGACCAGCCACACUGGGACUGAGACACGGCCCAGACUCCUACGGGAGGCAGCAGUGGGGAAUCUUGGACAAUGGGCGCAAGCCUGAUCCAGCCAUGCCGCGUGAGUGACGAAGGCCUUAGGGUUGUAAAGCUCUUUUGCCGGGGACGAUAAUGACGGUACCCGGAGAAUAAGUCCCGGCUAACUUCGUGCCAGCAGCCGCCGUAAC